AGAUUGAACGCUGGCGGAAUGCUUUACACAUGCAAGUCGAGCGGCAGCGCGGGGCAACCUGGCGGCGAGCGGCGAACGGGUGAGUAAUGCAUCGGAACGUGUCCAUGUCGUGGGGGAUAGCCCGGCGAAAGCCGGAUUAAUACCGCAUACGCCCGAGAGGGGAAAGUGGGGGACCGCAAGGCCUCACGCGAUUGGAUCGGCCGAUGUCCGAUUAGCUAGUUGGCGGGGUAAAGGCCCACCAAGGCGAUGAUCGGUAGCUGGUCUGAGAGGAUGAUCAGCCACACUGGGACUGAGACACGGCCCAGACUCCUACGGGAGGCAGCAGUGGGGAAUUUU
rnacentral:rRNA from 1 species